rnacentral:rRNA from 1 species
AUUGGACGCUGGCGGCAUGCCUUACACAUGCAAGUCGAACGGCAGCAUGGGUGCUUGCACCUGAUGGCGAGUGGCGAACGGGUAAGUAAUGCAUCGGAACGUACCCGGAAGUGGGGGAUAACGUAGCGAAAGUUACGCUAAUACCGCAUAUUCUGUGAGCAGGAAAGCGGGGGAUCGCAAGACCUCGCGCUUCCGGAGCGGCCGAUGUCGGAUUAGCUAGUUGGCGGGUAAAGGCCCACCAAGGCAACGAUCCGUAGCGGGUCUGAGAGGAUGAUCCGCCACACUGGGACUGAGACACGGCCCAGACUCCUACGGGAGGCAGCAGUGGGGAAUUUUGGACAAUGGGCGCAAGCCUGAUCCAGCCAUGCCGCGUGAGUGAAGAAGGCC